GUGAGGAAUAUUGGGCAAUGCCCGCAAGGGUGACCCAGCAACGCCGCGUGAAGGAUGAAUGCCGUAAGGUUGUAAACUUCUGUUAGAGGGGACGAACAGCUCCGAUCGCAUCGGAGUUUGACGGUACCCUCAGAGAAAGCCCCGGCUAACUACGUGCCAGCAGCCGCGGUAAUACGUAGGGGGCAAGCGUUGUCCGGAUUUACUGGGUGUAAAGGGCGCGCAGGCGGAAUCGUAAGUCGGAGGUGAAAUCCUGCAGCUUAACUGCAGAACUGCCUUUGAUACUGCGAUUCUUGAGUGCGGAAGAGAGAGACGGAAUUCCAGGUGUAGUGGUGAAAUACGUAGAUAUCUGGAAGAACACCAGUUGCGAAGGCGGUCUCUUGGUCCGUAACUGACGCUCAGGCGCGAAAGCGUGGGUAGCAAACAGGAUUAGAAACCCCGGUAGUCC
rnacentral:rRNA from 1 species